rnacentral:rRNA from 1 species
AUGCACCAUUCGGAGCAAGAAUUCAGUUUACUGCAGUUUAUUGAAUCAAGAUACGGUAGCAAUCAAGCAGAACAUGUACUGUAUUCAUUUCAAAAUUCAGUGUACUGCAAAGUGUUUCAACCAGAACAUGAAUUAAGAUGCAAGAAGCUUCAAGUUGAUAGCAGUCGAUGCAAAAUUAUUCACUUAAACUUCAAUGUUCAGUGGUUAGAACACAAGACCAGAUUUCUUAGGUUCUACUGUACACAAGUUGAUUUAGCCCACAAUAUGUUGAUUUGCAUCAGAUGUUCUAGACUGCAAGCAUCAGAGUUGAAGAGGCUAUUAGCAGAACUAAUUUUCGCAUAUUUUUAUUUUUCUUUAAGUAUUUUGUUUUGUUAG